rnacentral:lncRNA from 1 species
GGCACUUGUCGACAUCGCCAUUUGAAGAUCGAACCAUUUCAUCGCACCAAUGAUAUAUUUAAGAUAUCUCAAACUUUGUAAACUCUCGAUUAUGUAUAUUGAUCACCGAAACUCAAUUUGAAAUACAAGUACUCGAAAAAAGAACCACUACAAUCUCAUCGCGAUCGAGCUGUGACUCAUACGUCAACAGAACAACAAUGAAGUCAAGCAAAAUGAAAUUCAACAACCACUCUUUCUAUUUAAAGUUCAAACAUUCUUCUGCUAAAAGUAAAGUCUAUGACUGCUUCCGAGUCUUUAUUUUACUCUUCUCUUCUGCCAUC